AAUGCAUAUAUGGGGAAAUGGACGUCUGAGCAAUCAUUCGAUUUGGGGCGAUGCUGUAGGGGGACGAAUAGAAUCUGCAAACACAUGGACAGGCAGCAAGUUCCGGUGAGGCCGGGGGGACUGCUCUUACCUGGCGAAGCCCACGCCGCGGCUGGUCCCGUUGGCAUCACGGAGAAUGCGGGUGGAGAUGACCUGGCCGAAGGACUUCAACAUGGCCUCCAGCUCCUGCUCGUCCAUGGAGAGCGGCAGCCUGGCUCCCUCCCAGCCCGUAACUCGACCUGCCCUGCACGACGCGCUGGCUGGAAACGCACUGCGGGCCUCCGACAACCAGCGCGCCCAAACUGGGAAUCCCCUCCGCCCCACCUCCCUCAACUCCCAGCGCCCCACCUAAACCGUCAACAACCAGACACUUUCCGCUCAACAAAACCGAGUCCGAGAUCAGCUCAGUUGACCCGUGACUGAAGCCAAGUGGCUAACUGACUCACGUGGCAACUGAUGUGAGCUCAGGGCAAAUAAUUUAUUCACACCCCAUCAGCCGCACAGAUGGCUAACCAGCAUGACUAAUUCAGUUUUCCACCAUCCUUUGAUUGUAUGGGAAUAACUGUUGCAAAUAUCUAUCUGCACAUAUCUGCAUUCCAAGAUAUUAUAAACAGGAUGACGGAAUGGUGACCACCCUAUCCUAAUAUAUUUAUUCACUCUUUUCUUGAAAAAGACCCCAUAAAACCUACUUAACAUUGUUGUAACCACGAUAUAACACUGAUCAGAACCAGAGGUGGAAGGUCCAGGGGUCAGUCCUGCCUUGUGUUUCUUCCAGCCAUGAACUCAGCCAGCUGAUUUCACAAAUUAGUUCUACCUCCUGACUGAAGAAUUGUGGGGUCUUGAGGUCUUUCACUAGUACCUGGAUUUUUCUCCUCUGGUCAUAACCAGUCAUGAGACCAAUGUCAUAACACUGUCGCAGUUAUUAUUAUUUUGAAUAUGUUUUGAAAAAUCUACCGCAUAUAUUUGCCAUAAACUGUAACAACCUGCCACAAAUUUUAUAACAUAUUCUUAUGUAUAUAUCAAUUAAUAAAAUCUUAUUUUAUGAGA